rnacentral:rRNA from 1 species
UACAGAGGUGGCAAGCGUUGUUCGGAAUUACUGGGCGUAAAGGGCGCGUAGGCGGCGACUCAAGUUAGAUGUGAAAGUCCUGGGCUUAACCUGGGGACUGCAUUUGAUACUGGGUUGCUUGAAUUCGGGAGAGGAUAGCGGAAUUCCCAGUGUAGAGGUGAAAUUCGUAGAUAUUGGGAAGAACACCGGUGGCGAAGGCGGCUAUCUGGACCGACAUUGACGCUGAGGCGCGAAAGCGUGGGGAGCAAACAGG